AACGAACGCUGGCGGCAUGCCUAACACAUGCAAGUCGAACGAGACCUUCGGGUCUAGUGGCGCACGGGUGCGUAACGCGUGGGAACCUGCCCUUAGGUUCGGAAUAACUCCCCGAAAGGGGUGCUAAUACCGGAUAAUGUCUUCGAACCAAAGAUUUAUCGCCUUUGGAUGGGCCCGCGUUGGAUUAGCUAGUUGGUAGGGUAAAAGCCUACCAAGGCGACGAUCCAUAGCUGGUCUGAGAGGAUGAUCAGCCACACUGGGAGUGAGACACGGCCCAGACUCCUACGGGAGGCAGCAGUGGGCAAUAGUGGACAAUGGGCGAGAGCCUGAUCCAGCAACGCCGCGUGAGUGAUGAAGGCCUUAGGGUUGUAAAGCUCUUUUACCCGGGAUGAUAAUGACAGUACCGGGAGAAUAAGCUCCGGCUAACUCCGUG
rnacentral:rRNA from 1 species